AUCUGAUGAAUUGAGAGAUUUCAGAGCAAAAAACAUAUCAGAAAACUGCAAGAGACAUAUAAAACACACAAAAGUGUUUUUUUUUUGUUUAUCAUUUUUGUGAUAAACAAUUUGUGAUAAAAAUGUGGUGCCAACUACAAGGACUUGUGGAAAUUACUUUAGCUAGUUAUAUGAUAUGUGGCGACAUGUUUUUAUUUUGUUUAACAUGGGAAUUUGCAAGUGUUUCACAAUUCAUUCCCACAUCACUUUUCUUAAACCACAUCUGUUUUCACAUAUGCAAUGUGAUUGUGUAUCUGAUAUUUUCCCACUUAUAAAGUUGCAAACAGAGACACAAGCUAUGUCUCUUGUCAAUGGUUACUUUUCGAGAAACUCAGCUUUUCUUGCAACAGAGUGCUGGCAAUGAUGUCAUAAAAUGUACCUACUAGGAAUCUUUGAGGACAAGCAGCGAGAGUAACCAUGGCGACAGAAGCAGGAAUGAAGAAAGCCAGUAUCAAAAGCAAUUAUUAAGAGCUGCAGGCUGCUGCAUAUUGAGACGGGUCCCGGUAAAGACCAAAGUGAUGCUUAAACAUAAUUAUGCCAAAUAUGAGAAGCUGUUGCCUCCACCAGUAUAAAGAGUCAGAGUGACUUUAGUUUUGGGGAGAGGCUUUGUCCCCUCCAGACCUGUCUGUAAAUUUUGGCUUGCUUAAUAAAAAUGUUUAUUUAUUUAAA